rnacentral:rRNA from 1 species
GGGGGGGGCAAGCGUUGUUCGGAAUUACUGGGCGUAAAGGGCGCGCAGGCGGCCCGGCAAGUCCUACGUGAAAUCCCACAGCUCAACUGUGGAAUUGCGUGGGAUACUGCCAGGCUUGAGUCCGGGAGAGGAGAGUGGAAUUCCCAGUGUAGCGGUGAAAUGCGUAGAUAUUGGGAGGAACACCGGUGGCGAAGGCGGCUCUCUGGACCGGUACUGACGCUGAGGCGCGAAAGCUAGGGGAGCAAACGGGGAUUAGAUACCCCGGUAGUCCUAGCCCUAAACGUUGAGCACUUGGUGUGGCGGGUAUCGACCCCCUGCCGUGCCGAAGCUAACGCAUUAAGUGCUCCGCCUGGGGGAGUACGGUCGCAAGGCUG